rnacentral:misc_RNA from 1 species
AAAGUCGUAACAAGGUCUCCGUUGGUGAACCAGCGGAGGGAUCAUUAGCGAGUUUCAAAGCUCCAAACCCCUGUGAACUAGUCCUAAAGACGCUGUCUCGGUGGGUAGCUAGUGGGACUCGUCCCGCCAGCGUGCCCGGCCGCCUGGGCCAGGCGCCCGCCGGAGGUAGCAAAAAAAAACUCUAUAUUUUUUCUCAACUACCCAAAAAAAUAAGCAAAACUUUCAACAACGGAUCUCUUGGCUCUG